rnacentral:rRNA from 1 species
UUUCGGCAAGGGGGUCAUCCCGACUUACCAACCCGAUGCAAACUGCGAAUACCGGAGAAUGUUAUCACGGGAGACACACGGCGGGUGCUAACGUCCGUCGUGAAGAGGGAAACAACCCAGACCGCCAGCUAAGGUCCCAAAGUCAUGGUUAAGUGGGAAACGAUGUGGGAAGGCCCAGACAGCCAGGAUGUUGGCUUAGAAGCAGCCAUCAUUUAAAGAAAGCGUAAUAGCUCACUGGUCGAGUCGGCCUGCGCGGAAGAUGUAACGGGGCUAAACCAUGCACCGAAGCUGCGGCAGCGACGCUUAUGCGUUGUUGGGUAGGGGAGCGUUCUGUAAGCCUGUGAAGGUGUGCUGUGAGGUAUGCUGGAGGUAUCAGAAGUGCGAAUGCUGACAUAAGUAACGAUAAAGCGGGUGAAAAGCCCGCUCGCCGGAAGACCAAGGGUUCCUGUCCAACGUUAAUCGGGGCAGGGUGAGUCGACCCCUAAGGCGAGGCCGAAAGGCGUAGUCGAUGGGAAACAGGUUAAUAUUCCUGUACUUGGUGUUACUGCGAAGGGGGGACGGAGAAGGCUAUGUUGGCCGGGCGACGGUUGUCCCGGUUUAAGCGUGUAGGCUGGUUUUCCAGGCAAAUCCGGAAAAUCAAGGCCGAGGCGUGAUGACGAGGCACUACGGUGCUGAAGCAACAAAUGCCCUGCUUCCAGGAAAAGCCUCUAAGCAUCAGGUAACAUCAAAUCGUACCCCAAACCGACACAGGUGGUCAGGUAGAGAAUACCAAGGCGCUUGAGAGAACUCGGGUGAAGGAACUAGGCAAAAUGGUGCCGUAACUUCGGGAGAAGGCACGCUGAUACGUAGGUGAAGCGACUUGCUCGUGGAGCUGAAAUCAGUCGAAGAUACCAGCUGGCUGCAACUGUUUAUUAAAAACACAGCACUGUGCAAACACGAAAGUGGACGUAUACGGUGUGACGCCUGCCCGGUGCCGGAAGGUUAAUUGAUGGGGUUAGCGCAAGCGAAGCUCUUGAUCGAAGCCCCGGUAAACGGCGGCCGUAACUAUAACGGUCCUAAGGUAGCGAAAUUCCUUGUCGGGUAAGUUCCGACCUGCACGAAUGGCGUAAUGAUGGCCAGGCUGUCUCCACCCGAGACUCAGUGAAAUUGAACUCGCUGUGAAGAUGCAGUGUACCCGCGGCAAGACGGAAAGACCCCGUGAACCUUUACUAUAGCUUGACACUGAACAUUGAGCCUUGAUGUGUAGGAUAGGUGGGAGGCUUUGAAGUGUGGACGCCAGUCUGCAUGGAGCCGACCUUGAAAUACCACCCUUUAAUGUUUGAUGUUCUAACGUGGACCCGUGAUCCGGGUUGCGGACAGUGUCUGGUGGGUAGUUUGACUGGGGCGGUCUCCUCCUAAAGAGUAACGGAGGAGCACGAAGGUUGGCUAAUCCUGGUCGGACAUCAGGAGGUUAGUGCAAUGGCAUAAGCCAGCUUGACUGCGAGCGUGACGGCGCGAGCAGGUGCGAAAGCAGGUCAUAGUGAUCCGGUGGUUCUGAAUGGAAGGGCCAUCGCUCAACGGAUAAAAGGUACUCCGGGGAUAACAGGCUGAUACCGCCCAAGAGUUCAUAUCGACGGCGGUGUUUGGCACCUCGAUGUCGGCUCAUCACAUCCUGGGGCUGAAGUAGGUCCCAAGGGUAUGGCUGUUCGCCAUUUAAAGUGGUACGCGAGCUGGGUUUAGAACGUCGUGAGACAGUUCGGUCCCUAUCUGCCGUGGGCGCUGGAGAACUGAGGGGGGCUGCUCCUAGUACGAGAGGACCGGAGUGGACGCAUCACUGGUGUUCGGGUUGUCAUGCCAAUGGCACUGCCCGGUAGCUAAAUGCGGAAGAGAUAAGUGCUGAAAGCAUCUAAGCACGAAACUUGCCCCGAGAUGAGUUCUCCCUGACCCUUUAAGGGUCCUGAAGGAACGUUGAAGACGACGACGUUGAUAGGCCGGGUGUGUAAGCGCAGCGAUGCGUUGAGCUAACCGGUACUAAUGAACCGUGAGGCUUAACCUU